rnacentral:rRNA from 1 species
AUGAACGCUGGCGGCGUGCCUAAUACCUGCAAGUCGAGCGAACAGACGAGGAGCUUGCUCCUCUGACGUUAGCGGCGGACGGGUGAGUAACACGUGGAUAACCUACCUAUAAGACUGGGAUAACUUCGGGAAACCGGAGCUAAUACCGGAUAAUAUAUUGAACCGCAUGGUUCAAUAGUGAAAGACGGUUUUGCUGUCACUUAUAGAUGGAUCCGCGCCGCAUUAGCUAGUUGGUAAGGUAACGGCUUACCAAGGCAACGAUGCGUAGCCGACCUGAGAGGGUGAUAGGCCACACUGGAACUGAGACACGGUCCAGACUCCUACGGGAGGCAGCAGUAGGGAAUCUUCCGCAAUGGGCGAAAGCCUGACGGAGCAACGCCGCGUGAGUGAUGAAGGUCUUCGGAUCGUAAAACUCUGUUAUUAGGGAAGAACAAAUGUGUAAGUAACUAUGCACGUCUUGACGGUACCUAAUCAGAAAGCCACGGCUAACUACGUG